UACUUAACGCGCGACCGCGAGCGAGUGACGUAGGCCUGGCGUUAGAAUCAAAACGCAUGUAGAUUUAAAAAAAAGACACAUGAAGCCGUGUCCUCAAUCUUGAAAUCAAAAUAAAUUAAAACAUGACCACUGAUAUCUACAUUUUGAUGGACUAGUUCAAAAGACAAUCACAUCAGAAAGUAGGGAAUGUGAUUUACCAAUGAAUGAAAAUAUUAUAGCUACUGGUUUGUUUCAAACAGUUUUGUAUACUACUUUGGGCCUUAGUAUUCUAAGAUAUAGCGCCAUGUUUCAUGCAACUUGCCCAUGUGUUUACAGGAGAAUGUUUUCUUAGUAAAUUAAUACUGGGUUCCAUUCAGCUACUUAAUUAUUAUAAAUAUUAUUUAUUCCUAUACAAGAUACAUAAAAAUGUCUUUUAUUGUAACCUCUACACUUUGACUGCUCAAAUUAAAUUAAAUUAUGUUAGCUAUUUAACUUACAACAAUGUUAUAGAAAUAGUAGAAAAAAAAUCAGAACAGAGUGCGUAGCCAAGAUUCCAAUCGCUUGAGACUGGGCGAACGAAACGGUAUUCUCGGUAUCUAUAUUUCUAUAUCUUCGGUAUUAGUGCGAAAGAGACGAAAGAAAGAGAGGAGAGAGAGAGAGGUAUUAGCGUUUCGUUCGCUGCGUCGGAACCGAUUGGCAUUUUGACUAGGCACCUUCACAUAAAUUGAUAAAACAUUGAAAUAAAAUGUAACAAAUUGAAAUAUAUUAGUUUUUACAUAAAAGGUAAGUAAACUUGAAAUGCAAGUAAUAAUUAUGACUAAACAAAAACUAAAGACUAAAUUCCAUAAGAUACGAUAAGCGCCAAAAAUAUUUUAGAGAACGGACUGAGUUCCGAAUGGACUACUAUGUAGCAAAACAUGCAAAAAAAUAACAAUAUUUAAACCAAUAUAACUGUAUAAAAAACAACUUAGAUUUGUCAAAUUUGGAAAAUUAGGAACAGCACCAAAUAAUACAUUUGGAUAUAUCACUAUGUUUUUGGUUAAUAAAUUAAUCAAUCCAGUACACCCACUACUGAUACGAUACAUUGUUAUGACUAAAAUUAGCAUUAUUAAAAAUUGAAAGCACCCAACAAUUGAAAUAACUGUGCUUCGAACAGUUACGACAGAGCGAAAUCUUAAAAUUGGACACAUCAUCAUAAUUUUGACAAAUAACUAUUUUCUAGCGCACAAUCUUGUUAGAUCAAUUAGGAUACUGUCAUAGCAAUUUUCUUGUCUUUUUAAGGUGGAAGACAAUCUAUAAAUUUUCUGUGAUGAGGUAUUAGGUAUGUCUUUCAAUUUUUUUUACCAAGGUCUUCAAAAUGCAAGUGCCUGAGAAUCAGUAUCACUUCAAAUCAGGUUCUAAUGACAUUGAAAGUAUAGAUGUCGCUACUAACACCGCUGUAUGUACGAAGCCAAACAAACUCC